rnacentral:rRNA from 1 species
CCUACGGGUGGCAGCAGUCGAGAAUCAUUCACAAUGGGCGAAACCCUGAUGGUGCGACGCCGCGUGGGGGAAUGAAGGUCUUCGGAUUGUAAACCCCUGUCAUGUGGGAGCAAAUUAAAAAGAUAGUACCCCAAGAGGAAGAGACGGCUAACUCUGUGCCAGCAGCCGCGGUAAUACAGAGGUCUCAAGCGUUGUUCGGAAUCACUGGGCGUAAAGCGUGCGUAGGCUGUUUCGUAAGUCGUGUGUGAAAGGCGCGGGCUCAACCCGCGGACGGCACAUGAUACUGCGAGACUAGAGUAAUGGAGGGGGAACCGGAAUUCUCGGUGUAGCAGUGAAAUGCGUAGAUAUCGAGAGGAACACUCGUGGCGAAGGCGGGUUCCUGGACAUUAACUGACGCUGAGGCACGAAGGCCAGGGGAGCGAAAGGGAUUAGAUACCCCAGUAGUC